AUUGAACGCUGGCGGCAUGCUUUACACAUGCAAGUCGAACGGCAGCACGAGUGCUUGCACUUGGUGGCGAGUGGCGAACGGGUGAGUAAUACAUCGGAACGUGUCCUAAAGUGGGGGAUAACGCAUCGAAAGAUGUGCUAAUACCGCAUAAUCUCUAAGGAGAAAAGUAGGGGAUCGAAAGACCUUAUGCUUUUGGAGCGGCCGAUGUCUGAUUAGCUAGUUGGUGGGGUAAUGGCCUACCAAGGCGACGAUCAGUAGCUGGUCUGAGAGGAUGGCCAGCCACACUGGGACUGAGACACGGCCCAGACUCCUACGGGAGGCAGCAGUGGGGAAUUUUGGACAAUGGGCGCAAGCCUGAUCCAGCAAUGCCGCGUGCAGGAAGAAGGCCUU
rnacentral:rRNA from 1 species